UACGUAGGGGGCAAGCGUUAUCCGGAUUUACUGGGUGUAAAGGGAGCGUAGACGGCGGUGCAAGCCAGAUGUGAAAGCCCGGGGCUCAACCCCGGGACUGCAUUUGGAACUGUGCUGCUAGAGUGUCGGGGAGGCAGGCGGAAUUCCUAGUGUAGCGGUGAAAUGCAUAGAUAUCACACAGAACACCGAUUGCGAAGGCAUCUCACGAAUCCGCGAUUGACGCUGAUGCACGAAAGCGUGGGUAUCAAACAGG
rnacentral:rRNA from 1 species